CCAUCAUGUGAGUGUGAGAUUGCUCUGGAUUCUGGUUAUGUGGCCUGCAGCACCUAAGAACAAGCUCGUACAGUGUGGCUGCAUUCCAGCUUCUUAGACUCUACGCAAGUGGACAGAGUAUCAGUGUUUGACCACUGUUACAGACACCGACUUCUGUCAACUCACUGCUACUGAGCAGGCACCUCACUCCAGGAAGACAGAGGGCUGCAAGCCUGUCAUCGUUUCCAGUGUGGCUUUGAAUUCUUGGGGUAGUAUCAGAUUUUUCCCACAAAUAUUCAAAGAUUUAUAUGCAGUGAUCGGAUGUGGUGGAACUUUGUUAGCUGUGUGUAAAACAUCUGUUUGUGAUGACAUUUACAAUGAGGCUUUAAGGUGACAGUUUCCAUGUAAUUUCAGUCCUUUUACUAAGCAAAAACAUGUUUGCAAUUAACA